rnacentral:rRNA from 1 species
AACGUAGGUGGCAAGCGUUGUCCGGAUUUACUGGGCGUAAAGAGCGCGCAGGCGGUCGUUCAAGUCGCGUGUGAAAGCCCCCGGCUCAACUGGGGAGGGUCACGCGAUACUGAUCGACUGGAAGGCAGGAGAGGGUAGUGGAAUUCCUGGUGUAGCAGUGAAAUGCGCAGAUAUCAGGAAGAACACCCGUGGCGAAAGCGGCUCUCUGGAACGGUACUGACGCUGAGACGCGAAAGCGUGGGGAGCGAACAGG